rnacentral:misc_RNA from 1 species
GGAAGGAUCAUUAACAACCAAAAUUUUUUUUUAUUUUGUAGGAGGGGAGAAGAGGCUUUAAACACCUCUUUGAACUUUUUAAAAAUAGAAAAAAAAAUUUAUAUAAACACUUUGUUGGAAUAUUGGAGAGAAAGAGAGGUCAAAUGCUCUUUCAAUUUCUUUUUUUAUUUAUAAACGCAAAAAAAACAAAACAAAACAAUGAAAAAAACGAUACAUUUUGUAUAAUAACAAAAAAUAUCACUUUCUUUAAUGGAUGUCUUGGCUCUGACAACGAUGAAGACCGAAGCAAAAUUCGAUAAGUAAUGUGAAUUGCAGGAUUUCGUGAAUCAUCAAGUCGUUGAACGCACCUUGCACUAUUGUUAAAGCAAUAGUACUCGAGGAUCAGGGGAGGUUUAAACUUUCACAAAAGGUAACUUUUGAUGGAGAGAUGACUUUUGAGCAAGUUAAAUUGUUCAUUGGUUUGAAAUUGAAUAUAUAAUGAGAAAAAUAUAUUUUCAACAAACUUUUUUUCUUUUUAUUUUUCUUUUGUUAAAACAAGGAAAUCUUCAAAAAGGAGAAGAGGGGAAAAUAUAAGUUUUCAAACAAAAAAUUCAAUAACAUUCUCCCUGAUGUUUCGAGAGAUUACCCGCUGAAUUUAAGCAUAUUAAUAAGCGGAGGAAAAGAAAAUAACAAUGAUUUCCCUAGUAACGGCGAGUGAAGCGGAAAAAGCCCAAAUUUGAAAUCUUGAGGGGGUAAUGAACUCAAGAGUUGUAGUUUCAAGGUGGGGUGUGAAAGACGGCAGUGGGAUGGUGAAGUUUCGCUGGAAAGCAACGCCAGAGAGGGUGAUAGCCCCUUGAGCCAUUAACCAUUGUGUGUCGGAUUAUCAUACUCUGUCCAAAGAGUCGGGUUCCUUGGGAGUGGAGCCCAAAGUGUCGGGUAGAUCACCGAGAAGGCUAAAUAUAAGGUCAGAGACCGAUAGCAAACAAGUACUGUGAAGGAAAGAUGAAAAGAACUUUGAAAAGAGAGUGAAAUAGUGCCUGAAAUUAAAGAAAGGAAAAGGAAAGCACACUUGUAGAGGCAAACUGAUGCGGGUUUAAGGGUAGCGGCGGGUUGGGAACGUGGGUACGUGUAAUGAGCUGCAUAAGCCAGCGUGGUCUACGUGAAACCUAACUGUCCAUUAAGCGACCUGUAUACCUCCAUUGCAUUGCCUGGCAGCAUGAGAUCGCUUAGAAAAUUGGUCAGGAAGCCUAGCGGAAAGGUAGGUAUGGACUUGCUUCGGCGGGUCUGUACUGUUAUAGUCCGCGAGGAGAAAAUGAGCCAAGGCGGUCUGAGGAACAGAUAGGGAAAGCCACAUGUUGGCGAGCUGCAGUGAUCCGGGUUGUUGCUGUGUCAGGUGAACGGACUCGAAACGAGUGCGAGCGCUGCAAAUGGUAACGAUUUGGCUCUGGCUUCAUUUCCCCUGAGAUGCUGUAUUAAACAAUCGGGCAGGUGUGUUUUCACCCGUCUUGAAACACGGACCAAGGAGUCUAACGCAUAUGCGACUGUUUGAGUGUAAGAUAAACUCAAGCGGGGAUUGAAAGAAAACUUUUUUGGUGUGACACCUGGUGUUAAGAUACCUGGUAGCAACAUCGACCGACCAUGAUCUCUUGUGAAAGGUUUGAGUACAAGCAUAUUCGUCGGGACCCGAAAGAUGGUGAUCUAUGCUAGAAUAAGAUGAAGUCAAAGGAAACUUUGAUGGAGGUCUGUAGCCGUUCUGACGUGCAAAUCGAUGGUCAAAUUUUAGUAUAGGGGCGAAAGACUAAUCGAACCAUCUAGUAGCUGGUUCCCCC